AUGUUAGUAUAAAAGUAAACUCAAUCCUCUGUCUACAACACACCAAACAGGAAUCUGGGUUCACUCUGACAAGGGGCCCAAAACCUGGGGCUUUCCUAUGAACAAAUACCCUACACAA
ensembl:snoRNA